rnacentral:rRNA from 1 species
GACGAACGCUGGCGGCGUGCUUAACACAUGCAAGUCGAACGGAAAGGCCCUGCUUUUGUGGGGUGCUCGAGUGGCGAACGGGUGAGUAACACGUGAGUAACCUGCCCUUGACUUUGGGAUAACUUCAGGAAACUGGGGCUAAUACCGGAUAGGAGCUCCGGCUGCAGGGUGGGGGUUGGAAAGUUUCGGCGGUUGGGGAUGGACUCGCGGCUUAUCAGCUUGUUGGUGGGGUAGUGGCUUACCAAGGCUUUGACGGGUAGCCGGCCUGAGAGGGUGACCGGCCACAUUGGGACUGAGAUACGGCCCAGACUCCUACGGGAGGCAGCAGUGGGGAAUAUUGCACAAUGGGCGGAAGCCUGAUGCAGCAACGCCGCGUGCGGGAUGACGGCCUUCGGGUUGUAAACCGCUUUCGCCUGUGACGAAGCGUGAGUGACGGUAAUGGGUAAAGAAGCACCGGCUAACUACGUG